rnacentral:ncRNA from 1 species
CAAAGGUUUGGUCCUGACUUUACUGUCAGCUUUGGCUAGAUUUACACAUGCAAGUAUCCGCCCCCCUGUGAGAAUGCCCGUACUCCUCUUUCUGAGGAUAAGGAGCUGGUAUCAGGCACACAACUCAAAACGUAGCCCACGACACCUUGCUUAGGCCACACCCCCAAGGGAACCCAGCAGUGAUAAACCUUAAGCAAUAAGUGAAAACUUGACUUAGUUAAAGCCAAGAGAGCCGGUAAAACUCGUGCCAGCCACCGCGGUUAUACGAGAGGCUCAAGUUGAUAGACAGCGGCGUAAAGAGUGGUUAAGGAAAAUAUUAAAUUAAAGCGGAAAGCCCUCAAUGCUGUUAUACGCCUUCGAAGAGACUGAACCACAACUACGAAAGUGGCUUUAUUUAACCUGAACCCACGAAAGCUAAGAAACAAACUGGGAUUAGAUACCCCACUAUGCUUAGUCCUAAACAUUGAUUAUUUUUCACAUCAAUACAUCCGCCUGGGGAUUACGAACAUUAGUUUAAAACCCAAAGGACUUGGCGGUGCUUAAUAACCCCCUAGAGGAGCCUGUUCUAGAACCGAUAAUCCCCGUUCAACCUCACCCUCCCUAGUUUUUCCCGCCUAUAUACCACCGUCGUCAGCUUACCCUGUGAAGGAUUUAUAGUGAGCAUAACUGGUAAAGCCCAGAACGUCAGGUCGAGGUGUAGUGCAUGAGAGGGGAAGAAAUGGGCUACAUUCGCUGCCCCAGCGAACACGAAUGAUGCAUUGAAACAUGCAACUGAAGGUGGAUUUAGCAGUAAGUGGGAAGCAGAGAGUCCCACUGAAACUGGCUCUUAAGCGUGCACACACCGCCCGUCACCCUCCCCAAGCCCCUGGACCUAAAUUUCCCGUCAAACCAAAACAAACGCGAAGGUGAGGAAAGUCGUAACAUGGUAAGCGUACCGGAAGGUGCGCUUGGUAAAAU